CAAUCCCCUACGGGAGAUGCAGGUGCUGAUUGUCGAACAGACUGCGCCGGAGCCGAAGGCGCAAACCGUCCGGAAUCGCUCAGGCAAAAGGACCGUAGGGAAGAG
rnacentral:ncRNA from 2 species